rnacentral:rRNA from 1 species
UACGGAGGGUGCAAGCAUUAAUCGGAUUUAUUGGGCGUAAAGGGCGCGUAGGCGGGGAUAAUAGUCAGAUGUGAAAUCCCGGGGCUCAACCUCGGAACUGCAUUUGAAACUGUAUCUCUAGAGGGUAGGCGGAGAAAGCGGAAUUCCACAAGUAGCGGUGAAAUGCGUAGAUAUGUGGAAGAACACCGGUGGCGAAGGCGGUUUUCUAGCUUACUCCUGACGCUGAGGCGCGAAAGCAAGGGGAUCAAACAGG